ACAUCUCCCACUCUAACCCUUUCCCACUCUAAGCAACUAUCCCUAAAACCCUCGUUCCUCUUGCUUUGAAAAACGGAAAUUGUCAAGAAAGCAAAUGAGUUGGUGAGGCACAAUAUUCACCCAAAUUUGAUGAUCAGCUGAGUAGAUAUAGGGCACUCGUGUUAUGGCAUCAACGUAGAAACAAACAAGUGUAAUAACCAUGAGGUUAGAAUUUAUGACUCCUUCAUAGUUGUAGAAACAGAAGGUGGCAGUCCUGCAAGAUCAAUAGGGUAACAUGGCAGUCUUGCUGGAUCAGGAGGUGUGGUGUCACCAGGUGAAAUAAUCGAUGGAGUGCUAUAAGAUCUUAUUUUGUUGCGUCCUUCUUCUUGAUAUCCACAAGAACAACAAUUUCUUUCACGCAAAUGGUACAAAUAAAAUCUACUAAUGACUUUCAAUUCGCCAUCAGAACCUGGUAUUAGAAAAGCAUUGGAGCACUUAUGAGUUUUCACUUCUCUUCACUGUCCGUUGAUGGUUACCAUCCCUAUCCAGACUCACAUUAGCUAGUUUUCUUAGAACUUUAUUAUUCGUGUUGUAAAAGAGUUAUAUACCUGUAUGAAAUUAUUCUUUUUCUUGUAAAACAAUAUCGUUAUGUUUUGAGUAUAACAAUAUUUUAGUAUUCUAAUUUAUCUUGAAUGAUA